AAUCGUACAGCACGAUACCGCCUACAACCCCACAACCUCCUGCUAUAACUACGGAUGAUCCAUGUUAUAAAUGUGAAGAUGGCUGGAAGCAACAUGGAGGAAAGUGCUAUUUUUUCUCCACAAGCAAAUCAUCCUGGAAUGAGAGCAGCACUGAAUGUAUCACUAAAGGAGGAGACCUGGUUAAGAUAGACAGCAGUGAGGAGCAGAGCUUCUUGAGGAUAGCUAUUCAACAAAAAAUCGAGGGCUAUG